AUACGGAGGGGGCAAGCGUUAUUCGGAAUUAUUGGGCGUAAAGGGCGCGUAGGCGGCCUGACAAGUCAAGGGUGAAAUCCCUCGGCUCAACCGAGGAACUGCCUUUGAAACUUUCAGGCUUGAGGCCGGGAGAGGGUAGUGGAAUUCCCAGUGUAGCGGUGAAAUGCGUAGAUAUUGGGAGGAACACCGGUGGCGAAGGCGGCUACCUGGACCGGUUCUGACGCUGAGGUGCGAAAGUGUGGGGAGCAAACAGGAUUAGAAACCCCGGUAGUCC
rnacentral:rRNA from 1 species